ensembl:lncRNA
CAAGCAAUGACACUGUCAUAAACCCCCAGGCCUACGAUGACAACUCUGCCAGAUGUCCAACCAACAGCCGCUAUGAGCUGUGUGGCUCUGCCUGUCCUGCCACCUGCUCUGACCCCAGUUCCCCCUCCAAGUGUGGAAACCUGUACAUGUAACACUGGCUUCGUCCUAAGUGGGGGGCCAGUGUGUUCCCGCCACCUGCAGCUACCAGGGCAGCUACGUGCCAGUCGGUGACUCCUUCUGGGCUGAUCAGGUCUGCCGACGACGCUGCUCCUGUGUCCCUGAGCGGCAAGGUUGACUGCCAGGAUGUAUGUUGCCGGGCAGGGCAGGUGUGCCAGGUGGUGGAUGGCAUCAGGGACUGCCACCCUGUGUCCCACAGCAUCUGCCAUGCCAGGCCUGUGCUUCACAGACCUGGGCCUGGUGCCCUUUGAGGUGCGGGUGCAAAAUUACUUCCGGGUGGUUUCCUGUACCAAGCUGCUGGAGGUCAGGGUCUUCAGCCAGAACAUUGUCAUCACUAUGGGGAACAAGCGCCAGAUCACGGUGGACAAUGAGUUGGUCAACCUGCCUAUGUACCUGAACAAUGGUCAGGUGUCUGUCUACAGGAGUGGCUGGUAUGCUGUGGUCACAACCAGCUUUGGCCUUAACGUCUCCUUCGACUGGAACAGUGCAAUGUUUGUCACGCUGCCCUCCACCUACAGGUCGCUGCCUGUGGCAACUACAACACCCGGCCUCAAGAUGACCUUGUACCCAGGAACGAGACAACCCCUGCCAGGCCAGAGGACUUCGGGGCCAGUUGGUGCAUGGAGCAGAUCCCUGGCUGUGUCCACGGCUGUAUUGGGGCCUGUCCCAACUGAAGUCAACCAGAAGAGGUGGUUCUGAGGAACCCGACGGGGCCUUUCCAGGACUGCUUUGCCACAGUGAACCAGGUGGGAUACUUUGAGGACUGCGUGUAUGACGUGUGUUUGUAUAAGGGCAAGUGUCCAGCCCACAGCCACUGAGGUGUGUUUCUGGCUGUCCUGCCACUUGCCAGAGCCUGUCCCCUCCCUCAGGUUGCCUCGCCCAGUGUAACGAGGGCUUCUCCUGUAAUGAAG